UAACCUGCCUCAUACAGGGGAUAACAGUUAGAAAUGACUGCUAAUACCGCAUAAGCGCACAGCAUUGCAUGAUGCCGUGUGAAAAACUCUGGUGGUAUGAGAUGGACCCGCGUCUGAUUAGCUAGUUGGUGAGGUAACGGCCCACCAAGGCGACGAUCAGUAGCCGACCUGAGAGGGUGACCGGCCACAUUGGGACUGAGACACGGCCCAA
rnacentral:rRNA from 1 species